rnacentral:rRNA from 1 species
AGAGUUUGAUCCUGGCUCAGGAUGAACGCUAGCGGCAGGCCUAAUACAUGCAAGUCGGACGGGAUUGGAGAGCUUGCUUUCCAUGAGAGUGGCGCACGGGUGCGUAACACGUAUGUAACCUACCUUCGUCAGGGGGAUAGCCUCUCGAAAGAGAGAUUAAGACCGCAUAACAUUGAGACACAGCAUUGUGAUUCAAUCAAAUAUUUAUAGGACGAAGAUGGGCAUGCGGAACAUUAGCUAGUUGGUAAGGUAACGGCUUACCAAGGCUACGAUGUUUAGGGGAUCUGAGAGGAUGACCCCCCACACUGGUACUGAGACACGGACCAGACUCCUACGGGAGGCAGCAGUAAGGAAUAUUGGUAAAUGGGCGGAAGCCUGAACCAGCCAUGCCGCGUGCAGGAAGACGGCCCUACGGGUUGUAAACUGCUUUUAUACCGGAAUAAACCUUGAUACGUGUAUCGAGCUGAAUGUACGGUAAGAAUAAGGAUCGGCUAACUCCGUGCCAGCAGCCGCGGUAAUACGGAGGAUCCAAGCGUUAUCCGGAUUUAUUGGGUUUAAAGGGUGCGUAGGUGGCCUGUUAAGUCAGGGGUGAAAGACGGUAGCUCAACUAUCGCAGUGCCCUUGAUACUGAUGGGCUUGAAUGAACUAGAGGUAGGCGGAAUGUGACAAGUAGCGGUGAAAUGCAUAGAUAUGUCACAGAACACCAAUUGCGAAGGCAGCUUACUAUGGUUUUAUUGACACUGAGGCACGAAAGCGUGGGGAUCAAACAGGAUUAGAUACCCUGGUAGUCCACGCCCUAAACGAUGAAUACUCGAUGUUGGCGAUAUACGGUCAGCGUCUAAGCGAAAGCGUUAAGUAUUCCACCUGGGGAGUACGCCCGCAAGGGUGAAACUCAAAGGAAUUGACGGGGGCCCGCACAAGCGGAGGAGCAUGUGGUUUAAUUCGAUGAUACGCGAGGAACCUUACCCGGGCUUGAAAGUUAGUGAAUGAUACAGGGACGUAUCAGCUCUUCGGAGCACGAAACUAGGUGCUGCAUGGCUGUCGUCAGCUCGUGCCGUGAGGUGUUGGGUUAAGUCCCGCAACGAGCGCAACCCCUAUGUUUAGUUGCCAGCACGUUAAGGUGGGGACUCUAAACAGACUGCCUAUGCAAAUAGAGAGGAAGGAGGGGACGACGUCAAGUCAUCAUGGCCCUUACGUCCGGGGCUACACACGUGCUACAAUGGGCAGUACAGAGGGCAGCUACCUGACAACAGGAUGCCAAUCUCAAAAAGCUGUUCACAGUUCGGAUCGGGGUCUGCAACUCGACCCCGUGAAGUUGGAUUCGCUAGUAAUCGCAGAUCAGCAAUGCUGCGGUGAAUACGUUCCCGGGCCUUGUACACACCGCCCGUCAAGCCAUGGAAGCUGGAAGUGCCUGAAGUGCGUAACCGUAAGGAGCGUCCUAGGGUAAAGUCGGUAACUGGGGCUAAGUCGUAACAAGGUA